rnacentral:rRNA from 1 species
GACGAACGCUGGCGGCGUGCUUAACACAUGCAAGUCGAACGAGAAGAGAUGAGAAGCUUGCUUCUUAUUGAUUCGAGUGGCAAACGGGGUGAGUAACGCGUAAGCAACCUGCCCUUNAGAUGGGGACAACAGCUGGAAACGGCUGCUAAUACCGAAUACGUUCUUUUGUCGCAUGGCAGAGAGAAGAAAGGGAGGCUCUUCGGAAGCUUUCGCUGAAGGAGGGGCUUGCGUCUGAUUAGCUAGUUGGUGGGUAACGGCCUACCAAGGCGAUGAUCAGUAGCCGGUCUGAGAGGAUGAACGGCCACAUUGGGACUGAGACACGG